rnacentral:rRNA from 1 species
CCAGACUCCUACGGGAGGCAGCAGUGGGGAAUAUUGGACAAUGGGGGGAACCCUGAUCCAGCGACGCCGCGUGAGUGAAGAAGUAUUUCGGUAUGUAAAGCUCUAUCAGCAGGGAAGAAAGAAAUGACGGUACCUGACUAAGAAGCCCCGGCUAACUACGUGCCAGCAGCCGCGGUAAUACGUAGGGGGCAAGCGUUAUCCGGAUUUACUGGGUGUAAAGGGAGCGUAGACGGCGAUGCAAGCCAGAUGUGAAAGCCCGGGGCUCAACCCCGGGACUGCAUUUGGAACUGUGUGGCUGGAGUGUCGGAGAGGCAGGCGGAAUUCCUAGUGUAGCGGUGAAAUGCGUAGAUAUUAGGAGGAACACCAGUGGCGAAGGCGGCCUGCUGGACGAUGACUGACGUUGAGGCUCGAAAGCGUGGGGAGCAAACAGGAUUAGAUACCCCGGUAA